UUUCCGUAGGUGAACCUGCGGAAGGAUCAUUAACGCACAAAAUGUGAGGGGCAUGUGAGGGUUGUCGCUGACCACAAAGACGUGCACGCCCGAGUGUGUCCUCUUGUAUACUAAUCCAUCUCACCCUUUGUGCAUCACCGCAUGGGCACCCUUCGGGAUCAUCUCGGAAGGGGGCUCGCGUAUUCACACAAACCCCCCUUUUAAAAGUGUAGAAUGACCACAUUUAUGCAAUCAAUACAACUUUCAACAACGGAUCUCUUGGCUCUC
rnacentral:misc_RNA from 1 species